GGCUCUGUGGCGCAAUGGAUAGCACAUUGGACUUCUAAUUCAAAGGUUGUGGGUGUCAAGUCCCACCAGAGUCG
rnacentral:tRNA from 1 species